GGAAAAACGUUGAUGAGGACGAGUAAGCGCUGUUACGGCGGUCCAGAGAGCAGGAAAAGGUGUGAUCCUGUCCGCACGAUGGCGCUGAAUGGACCUCGGAGUUGCAGGGCGAAACAGCGGAUAUGGAACGGAUUAGCGGAUGCCGCUGGAGUAGCUUGAGCCGGAAGUUGCCACCGUUAUCUGGGCAUAGUUACUUAGUGAUUUAGUUGAAUGGUUGUGUAGUUAGAAACUACCCAACUACGAAACUAAAAAACUAGCUAACGAAAUAAAGUGAGGCUGGCUUCUAUCCCCGUUGCAUCACACGGGGAUUCUUUGUUAAGGAAGCAGCCUAAGUUGGGUGGCACCACGGAUGCGAAAGCGUUCGUCCCAUUU
rnacentral:ncRNA from 1 species